UGGGAGGAGACAAUUAUACAUAGGAAAACAACGCUGCAAAAGACUGCAGACUUCUCAUAGAAUCAAUGAAAGUCAGCAAACAAUGGAACGGCAUCUGAAAAGUGAUGAAAGAAUAAAUCUGUUAACUCCGAAUGGUAUCAGUGAAAAUCUCUCUCAAAAUGGAAAAAUAAAACUAUUUGGGGAUAAAUAAAACAGAGAAUUUGUGGCCAGCAGUCCAAAGACUGUUUUUCUUUUCUUAAAUUCUUUAAAAAUUAAUCCACCUUUUAAAGUAAAAAUAACAAUGCAUUCUGGGAUCUAUAAGACAUACAAAAAUAAAGUAUAUGACCACAAUAACACCAAAGGCCGGAGAAGAUGUGAUGGCAUUACAUAUAUAUAUAUAUAUAUAUUUGUUUAUUUAAUUUAUUUAUUUAUUGAGACGGAGUUUCGCUCUUGUUGCCCAGUGUGGGGUGCAACGGCGCAAUCUUGGCUCAUUGCAACUUCCACCUCCCCGGUUCAAGCAACUCUCCUGCCUCAGCCUCCUGAGUAGCUGGGAUUACAGGCAUGAGCCACCAUGCCCGGCUAAUUUUGUAUUUUUAGUAGAGAUGGGGUUCCUCCAUGUUGGUCAGGCUGGUCUCGAACUCCUGACCUCAGGUGAGCUGCCCGCCUCGACCUCCCAAAGUGCUGGGAUUACAGGCGUGAGCCACUGCGCCCAGCCCUGGCAUUAUAUUUUUGUAACGUUCUUACGUUAUACAUGAAGUGGUGUAAUAUUAUUGGAAAGUAGACUGGAUAUUGAAGAAUGCAUAUUGUAACACUCCAGCAACCAAAAAUAUAAGGAGGCAUAGCUAAAAAGUAAGUAGAGAAGAUGGAAUAAAAUAUUUUAUUAAGUCUCAACCAAAUAGAAGGCAGUAAAGGAGGAACAAAAGAGGGGGGACAAAUAGAUAACAAAUAGCAAGAUGAUAAAACUUAAACCCACCCAUAAUGAUAAGUAUAUUACAUAUGAAAGGACUAGGCACUGCCAUUGAAAGGCAGAUAUUGCCAGACUUGAUUGAAAAGGAUCUUAGCUGAAUUCUUGUCUGUAAAUGGUGAGAAUUAAAUGAGACUGUGAAUCAAAGCACUGAGCACAGUGCCUGGCCCACACAGGAGGCUUCUUCAGUGAAAACUCUGAACAUAUUCUAAUAAGAGUCCUGCUUUCCUUCACGCCUGUCUGUGAGCUCUGUGGGGAGGCCCCAGAGCUGAGCAUUCAUCUAAUCAGCCUUUGUGGACCUCCAACGUCAUGCCAGACAGAUGGGGCCCUUAUCACCUGGCAGUUGCAUGUAGGUUAUAUGUCUACUUUUCAGGAACAGUGAAAUGACCCCUCCUCCUGUGCCUCCUCCAAAGAGGAGUUGGAGAAGGAGCCAGGGCACAAAGAGACAGAUUGUCAAAACCAUGCCUAUGCCGGGCAUGGUGGCACGCACAUGUAAUCUCAGCUACUCAGGAGGCUGAGGCAGGAGAAUCGCUUGAACCCAGGAGGUGGAGGUUGCAGGGAGACGAGAUGGUGCCACUUCACUCCAGCCUAGGCGACAGAGCGAGGUUCCAUCUCAAAAACAAAACACGACAAAACAAAACGAAAAACCAUGCCUAGAGCUGAGACAUCCUGAGGCUGGCUGGGGUCAUCGGCUUGUGGUCAGUGUAGCCACCGCAUGUUGGCCCACACCCUCCCCUUCCCUGGAAGCUGAGGCCAGAGUACCCAGCUUUUGGUCAGGGGGCUGUACGUGUGGGGCAAAGGGCAAAGUGGUGUCCAGGACCUGGAGCAGGAAAAGCUUGCAUUAUGCUCUGUGUCAAGCCAGUGGGGGCUACAGGUCCUGGGUUACUACUUGCCAGUUGGUGGUUGUGUGGGCAAGGAAAGGGGGAUCAUGGGUGGGACCCUGAGAGGCACUUCUCAUUCCCCUGUGAGAGGCCCCACAUCUGGCCUCUCCAGACAGACUCCAUGCUGGAUAACAGUUGGGUUCAGAACUUUAAGGAACAAAUUGCUGUUUCCAGCUCAGCUGUUCAGUCCAUUGGGCUCCUCCUCUUCCAAAUCCCCUAUCACUAACCCUCCUGCCGCAUGAGGGUAACCUCUACCCCUAUUUCUAACACCAUGGAGUAGUUUUGCCUGUUUUUGUCCUUUAUAUAUGUGAACUAUUUUGCACAUUAAGGUUGUAGAUUCAUCUAUAUUGUUGUGUACGGUUUGUUUAUUCUUAAAGCUGAUCAAUCAUCCCCUGUAUGAAUGAAUAGUCUAUAAUUUCUCUCUGUUCUAAAGCCGGAGGAUAUUCAGAUUCUUUCCAGUUUAGGGCUAUCCUGAAUAGUGUUGGUGUGAAUAUUCCAGGUUAUGUCUUUCUUUCUUCCUUUUUUUUUAAUUGAGACAAGAUCUUGCUCUGUCACCCAGGCUGGAGUGCAGUGGCGAGAUCACAAUUCACUGUAGCCUCCACCUUCCGGGUUCAAUCAAUCUGCAUGCCUUGGCCUCCUGAGUAGCUGGGACUACAGGCAUAUACCAUCAUGCCUGGCUACUUUUUAGUAGAGACGAGGUUUUGCCUUGUUGCCUAGGCUGCUCUCGAACUUCUGGGCUCAAGCAAUCCUCCCUCCUUGGCCUCCCGAUGUGCUGGGAUUACAGGCAUGAACCACCUCACCUGGCACAGGUUACAUCUUUUGAUGAACACGUGGAUGCAUUUCUUUUGCCUGUAUGCCCAGGAGUGGAAAUGCUUGGUCAGAGGGCAGGGUGUGUUCAACACAAUUAAACCUUACGGAUGCUUUCGUGGUGGUUAUACUAAUUUAGAUUCCCAUCAGCAAUGUCUGAGAGUUCUGGUUGCUCCAUAUCCUCAUCAGCACUUGGUAUUGCCAGUCUUUUUCACUUAAACUUCUCUGGUGUCUGAAGCGGUAGCUCACUGUGGUUUUGUAUUCUCCUUGCUAUUGUCCGAAUGUUUGAGUUUCUCCCAAAAACUCAUACGUUAAGACUUAAUCGGCUGGGUGCAGUGGCUCAUGCCUGUAAUCCCAGCAUUUUGGGAGGACGAAGUGGGCGGAUCAUGAGGUCAGGAGUUCGAGACCAGCCUGACCAACAUGGUGAAACCCUGUCUCUACUAAAAAUAUGAAAAUUAGCCGGGCAUGGUGGCACACGCCUGUAAUCCCAGCCACUUGGGAGGCUGAGACAGGAUAAUCACUUCAGCCCGGGAGGCAGAGGUUGCAGUGAACCAAGAUUACGCCACUGCACUCCAGCCUAGGCAACAGAGUGAGAGUCCAUCUCAACAACAACAACAACAAAAAGACCUAAUCACCAAGGUGAUGGUGUUAGAAGGUGUUAGAAGAUGGGGAUCUUUGAAAGGUGAUUAGGUCAUGAGGGCUCUAUCCUUGUGAAUUGGAUAACUGCCCUUAUAAAAGAGGCCCCAGAGAACUGUCUUCCCCCUUCCACCAUGUGAGGAUACAGCAAGAAGGUGCCAUGUUUGAAGCAGGGAACGGGCUCAGGCACCGGAUCUACUGCUGCCUUGAUCUUGGACUUCCCAGCCUCCAGAACUGUGAGCAAUAAAUUCCGUUGUUUAUAAAUUUCCCAGUCUAAGGUAUUUUGUUACAGUAUCCUGAACUGACCAAGCCACCCCCAUGAGUCAUGAAGCUAGCAGCUUUUCGUGUAUUUGUUGGCCUCCUAAGUACUCUUGUUAUGAAGUACUUUAAUGCAAGCCCUCCCCCAUUUUUCUCUUGAAUUGUCUGCCUUUUUCUUUUUGGUUUGUAGGAGUUCUUCAUAUAUAGUGGGAAAAAAUCAUUUGGGAUGUGUGUGUGUGCGCACACGCAAAUGCAUGCAUGCACGUGUUUAAAAGGCCAAUAUUCUCUGUCCCACAAAUUCAGAACACCACAGUGGUUGGGCCAUAAUUGCACUGUGGGUGGUGGCAGGGUUUCAGACAAAAGGCAUAAUAACAUGUCACAUAAAAUUAAUCUGAUUUGAAUCGAUUUUGUACGUGAUGGGUCAAUUUGUCUUGGUCUGAUGCUUGUAUAAGAGCUACAAGGAGUUUAUAUCUCAUUUUAUGCUUGCACAUGUUUAAGUAAUACACAAUAAAAAUCAUUUAAGGCAACAGUGAGGGCCCAGGAGAUGCCCUUCUUCUCUAGGUAAGCAGGAGAUUCUCAAAACACAAAUCCAAUCUGUGACUCCCCUGCUUAAUGCAUCUCAAAAGAUCCUUUUUUUGUCUAGGAUGGAGAUGAGACUCCUUCCCCUGGUAGGCGGCCUCCUCGGACCUGCUCCCCUGCACUGUUCACUGAAGCCGCCGCCUCCUUCUGGGCAUGGUCUCUCCAUGUCUUCUCUCUCCACAUAAGCCCCCAGCCCCUGUUUUGGAGCAGCUGCUGCCCUGACCACCCCUUUUGCUUAGACUUAGCUCAAUCAUCCCUUCUCUGGGAAGCUCCCACUGUGGCCUCUGAAACCACCAUCCCAGCUGGGCACUUUGCUUCCUUUUUUUUUUUUUUUUUUGAGACAGAGUCUCGCUCUGUCGCCCAGGCUGGAGUGCAGUGGCGCCAUCUCGGCUCACUGCAACCUGUGCUCCUGGGUUCACGCCAUCCUCCUGCCUCAGCCUCCCGAGUAGCUGGAACUACAGACGCCCGCCACCACGCCCAGCUAAUUUUUUUGUAUUUUUAGUAGAGACAGGGUUUCACCGUGUUAGCCAGGAUGGUCUCAAUCUCCUGACCUCAUGAUCCGCCCGUCUCGGCCUCCCAAAGUGCUGGGAUUACAGGCGUGAGCCACCACGUCCGGCCUUUGCUUCUUUGCAUAAUCUCAGCUGAGAUUUAUAAUUUACUUGUGGGAUUCUCCCCUCUCAAACUAUAAGUUCUGUGAAGACAGAGAUGGUAUUUUUUUCUCCUCACUUUAUUUAUUUAUUUGAGACAGAGUCUCACUAUGUUGCCCAGGCUGGAGUGCAGAGGUGCAAUCUCGGCCCACUGCACGCUCCACCUCCUGAGUUCAAGUGAUUCUCCUGCUCAGCCUCCUGAGUAGCUGGGACUACAGAUAUGCACCACCAUGCCUGGCUAAUAUUUGUAUUUUUAGUAGAGACGGGGUUUUGCCAUGUUGGCCAGGCUGGUCUCAAACUCCUGACCUCAGGUAAUCCACCUGCCUCUGCCCCUCAAAGUGCUGGAAUUACAGUCACGAGCCACUGCGCCCGGCCUUCUCCUCACCUUUUUCUCCAGUGUCCACUCCAGCAUGCAGUAUUUGAUAAGCGCUCAGUAAAUGUUUGUUGAAUGACUUACUAACCUGAGCUUGUGUUAACUCUCUCACUGUAUUGAUUCUGAAAGGCAAAGAGGGCCCAAGGUCACAUGUAGGGAAGGGCCAAAGGCAGGACUGGAGCCCAGCAAUUCUUGUUCAACCACACGGAAUGGGAAGUAAAGUCCUCUUUGGCCAGCAGCAGAGGGGCCAGGUCCCCCUUGUCAUCAGCCUGGAAGACCCUAAAGGAUCAUCUAGGACAAUUCUUUCAUUCUUUGAAUGGGGCAUCUAAAACUGAAGAGUGGACAGGGAUUGUCUAGAGUCAUACGGUGAAGGUGAUCCGGAAGUUCCGCUAGAGAACACAGCAGAUUCUAUCCUGUAGAAACACAAUGGGUUCUACCCAGAUUGCCUGACACUCAAUAUUCUUUUUUAAUUAAACUAAAUUAAUUAACUACUUUUUGAGUGCAGUGUUGUGAUCUCAGCUCACUGCAACCUCCACCUCUCAGGUUCAAACAAUUCUCCUGCCUCAGCCUCCCGAGCUGCUGGGAUUACAGGUGUGUGCCACCACGCCCAGCUAAUUUUUGUAUUUUUAGUAGAGUCAGGGUUUCGUCGCGUUGGCCAGGCUGGUCUUGAACUCUUGGCCUCAAGCAAUCCACCUGCCUCAGCCUCCCAAAGGGCUGGGAUUUCAGGCGUGAGCCACUGAGAGGGGCUCUGACACUCAACAUUCUUUCCAGUAUCCCCAACUCUCCUGGAGGUGAAGGACUAAGGGGGUGGGGGCAUGGCUCUCAGACUCCAGACUGACAACCUAAUAUUGAGGCUGGGCUGGGAGUGGAACCGAGAUUUCCCAGCCUGAGGCCAAUGGAUGACAAGGGCCUUUCUUGUUCUCCUCCAGAGCCUCUUCUGGAGCCCCACUAGGGAAUUCCUGUCCUUGGAAAAGUGGGAGAGGACCAGAACAUUCUGGAAUAAAGACUGGAGACAUUCAGAGUGACGCAAGAAGUACAGUCCACAGUGGAGGAAAACUCCAGCUGCCAGGCAAUUGCCCGCUGGUCCCUGGCCUGGUCUAGGUGGUUGUGGGGGAAGGGGAGCUAACUGCAGUGACUCACUUAACCCUUUCCGGGCAGAGGAAGAUAACGCUUUUUAAUUGAAGAAAUUUUUUAAUUAAAAAACAUUUUUUUGACGGCUUCUUGUUGAGCAGGGCUACCCCACAGGCCAUGUGCCUAGAGUGGCCUUAAUUGAAAUUUUUGUUACAAUCAUUGUAGAUUCCUGUACAGUUAUAAGAAAUAAAACAGCCGGGCGUGGUGGCUCAUGCCUGUAAUCCCAGCACUAUGGGAGGCCGAGACGGGCGGAUGACGAGGUCAGGAGAUUGAGACCAUCCUGGCUAACACGGUGAAGCCCCGCCUCUACUAAAAAUACAAAAAAUUAGACGGGCGAGGUGGCGGGCGCCUGUAGUCCCAGCUACUCGGGAGGCUGAGGCAGGAGAAUGGUGUGAACCCAGGAGGCGGAGCUUGCAGUGAGCCAAUAUCGUGCCACUGCACUCCAGCCUGGGCGACAGAGCGUCUCCAAAAAAAAAAAAAAAAAAAGAAGAAAUAAAACAGAGAGGCUGGGCACAGUGGCUCACGCGUGUAAUCCCAGCACUUUGGGAGGCCGAGGCAGGUGGAUCACCCAGCCUGGGCAACAAGAGGGAAACUUCAUCUCAAAAUAACAACAACAACAAAAAAGAAAACAGAGGGAUCCCAGGUACCCGCCUUCACUCAGUUUCCCCAAUGGUAACAUCUCGCAGAACUACUGGGCGCCAUCACAGCCGGGGUCUGACUGCUCUUGCUCAGGUUUCCCCGGUUUUCCGUAUCCUCACGUGUGUGUAUUUACUUCUGUGCAAUUUUAUCGCAGGCCAAGGCAGGCGGAUCACCUGAGCUCAGGAGUUUGAGACCAGCCUGGGCAACAUGGUGAAACCCUGUCUCUACAAAAAAUACAAAAAUUAGCCGGACACGGUGGCACGUGCCUGUAGCCCCAGCUCCUUGAGGGUCUGAGAUGGGAGGAUCACUUGAGCCCAGGAGGUGGAGGUUGCAGUGAGCCCAUAUUGCGCCACUGUACUCCAGCCUGGGUGACAGGGCGAGACCCUGUCUCAAAAACAAAAACAAAUAAACAGAAUGAGAGUAUGCAACCUUUUGGGACUGGCUUUUCCCCUCAGCAGACACCACUUUUCUUGAGCACCUUGAUCUCAUAGUCCCAGGGACGGCUUCUGUUAUUCCCAUUUUACAGCUGAGCAAACUGCUCCCCAACACCCAGCUCCCUCUUCUGCAGCCUGUCUCAGAGCGGGGUCUCCUUUGUGCCUCCCACCCGCUCCCCAGGCCCGUCUUUUCCCUCAGCAGAGAGGCUGUGUGACUAGCACGGUGGCCCCAUCCUCUGAGCCUCAGGAUCCCCCUGGGUAAAACAGGGGGAAGGGUCACACCCUGCAAAUCCAUGAAGAUGCAAUGAGGCAACGUGUGAGGCGCAGUCAGCGAAGUGCCAGGCGCAGAGUGAGCCCCCAGCGCACGCCGCGGAGAGCCGCCCGCAGCCCCAUUUGGCAAUGAAUUAUGUAUGGCCUUCUGGCAGCCCUGCGUGUGGGGCUGCAAGCUCCCUCUGCUCCCCCCUGCUUCUCUUUCCGGUGAGGGGCGCAGGCUCCCCCGGGGGGGUGGGCAGUGUUCUUUGUCUCUCCUGCAGGGACCCCCUAUCAGCUUCCCAAGGCUAGUGCCUCAGUGCCCAGGAUGCCCAUUUCACAGGCUGGAGAACCAAGGGCUGGUAUAGCUCAGGGUCUUUUUCAACAGACACUAAUAACAAUAAUAGAGCGCCACCAGUAACAAUAAUAAUCACCAUCGUACCUGCUGGGCUUUGUUUUUCUGUGUGUGCCAGACACAUUUAACAGAAAAUCCUUCAUCCAACAAAAAUGUCCACCUGUGCAG
rnacentral:lncRNA from 10 species